UACAGAGGUCUCAAGCGUUGUUCGGAUUCAUUGGGCGUAAAGGGUGCGUAGGUGGCGGGGUAAGUCAGGUGUGAAAUCUCGGAGCUCAACUCCGAAACUGCACUUGAUACUGCCUUGCUCGAGUACUGGAGAGGAGAUUGGAAUUUACGGUGUAGCAGUGAAAUGCGUAGAUAUCGUAAGGAAGACCAGUGGCGAAGGCGAAUCUCUGGACAGUUACUGACUCUGAGGCACGAAGGCCAGGGGAGCAAACGGG
rnacentral:rRNA from 1 species